UGUGUGUUAGUGGAAGCGUCUGGAAAGGCGCGCGAUACAGGGUGACAGCCCCGUACACAAAAGCGCAUGUGCUGUGAGCUCGAUGAGUAGGGCGGGACACGUGGUAUCCUGUCUGAAUAUGGGGGGACCAUCCUCCAAGGCUAAAUACUCCUGACUGACCGAUAGUGAACCAGUACCGUGAGGGAAAGGCGAAAAGAACCCCGGCGAGGGGAGUGAAAAAGAACCUGAAACCGUGUACGUACAAGCAGUGGGAGCACAGGUUUACCUGUGUGACUGCGUACCUUUUGUAUAAUGGGUCAGCGACUUAUAUUCUGUAGCAAGGUUAACCGAAUAGGGGAGCCGGAGGGAAACCGAGUCUUAAUUGGGCGUUAAGUUGCAGGGUAUAGACCCGAAACCCGGUGAUCUAGCCAUGGGCAGGUUGAAGGUUGGGUAACACUAACUGGAGGACCGAACCGACUAAUGUUGAAAAAUUAGCGGAUGACCUGUGGCUGGGGGUGAAAGGCCAAUCAAACCGGGAGAUAGCUGGUUCUCCCCGAAAGCUAUUUAGGUAGCGCCUCGUGAAUUCAUCUCCGGGGGUAGAGCACUGUUUCGGCUAGGGGGCCAUCCCGGCUUACCAACCCGAUGCAAACUGCGAAUACCGGAGAAUGUUAUCACGGGAGACACACGGCGGGUGCUAACGUCCGUCGUGAAGAGGGAAACAACCCAGACCGCCAGCUAAGGUCCCAAAGUCAUGGUUAAGUGGGAAACGAUGUGGGAAGGCCCAGACAGCCAGGAUGUUGGCUUAGAAGCAGCCAUCAUUUAAAGAAAGCGUAAUAGCUCACUGGUCGAGUCGGCCUGCGCGGAAGAUGUAACGGGGCUAAACCAUGCACCGAAGCUGCGGCAGCGACGCUUAUGCGUUGUUGGGUAGGGGAGCGUUCUGUAAGCCUGUGAAGGUGGCCUGUGAGGGUUGCUGGAGGUAUCAGAAGUGCGAAUGCUGACAUAAGUAACGAUAAAGCGGGUGAAAAGCCCGCUCGCCGGAAGACCAAGGGUUCCUGUCCAACGUUAAUC
rnacentral:rRNA from 1 species